AUACGUAGGUGACAAGCGUUAUCCGGAUUUACUGGGCGUAAAGGGCGUGUAGGCGGUCUUGCAAGUCAGAAGUGAAAUUCCUGAGCUCAACUCGGGCGCUGCUUCUGAAACUGCAGGACUUGAGUGCUGGAGGGGAUAGCGGAAUUCCUAGUGGAGCGGUAAAAUGCGCAGAUAUUAGGAAGAACACCGGUGGCGAAGGCGGCUAUCUGGACAGUAACUGACGCUGAGGCGCGAAAGCGUGGGGAGCAAACAGGAUUAGAUACCCAGGUAGUCCACGCCGUAAAUGGUGAAUACUAGGUGUAGGGGGUAUCGACUCCCUCUGUGCCGCAGUUAACACAAUAAGUAUUCCGCCUGGGGAGUACGGCCGCAAGGUUGAAACUCAAAUGAAUUGACGGGG
rnacentral:rRNA from 1 species